rnacentral:rRNA from 1 species
GAUGAACGCUGGCGGCGUGCUUAACACAUGCAAGUCGAGCGAGAAGUUUUGAAAAGAUUCUUCGGAUGAAAUUUAAAAUGGAAAGCGGCGGACGGGUGAGUAACGCGUAGGCAACCUGCCCCAUACAAAGGGAUAGCAUUUGGAAACGAAUAUUAAUACCUUAUGAAACUUAACUAGUGCAUGCUAGGUAGGUCAAAGAUUUAUCGGUAUGGGAUGGGCCUGCGUCUGAUUAGCUAGUUGGUGAGGUAACGGCUCACCAAGGCGACGAUCAGUAGCCGACCUGAGAGGGUGAACGGCCACAUUGGAACUGAGACACGGUCCAAACUCCUACGGGAGGCAGCAGUGGGGAAUAUUGCAAAAUGGGGGAAACCCUGAUGCAGCAGCGCCGCGUGAACGAUGAAGGCCUUUGGGUCGUAAAGUUCUGUUCUAGGUGAUGAAAACUGACAGUAACCUAGGGGAAAGCCCCGGCUAACUCCGUG